rfam:Nelumbo nucifera unplaced genomic scaffold scaffold01233, whole genome shotgun sequence
GCGUGCGAUCAUACCAGCACUAAAGCACCCGAUCCCAACAGAACUCCGAAGUUAAGCGUGCUUGGGCUAGAGUAGUAUUAGGAUGGAUGACCUCCUAGGAUGUCUUCGUGUUGCACCCC